rnacentral:misc_RNA from 1 species
GUCGCUUCGUGACUCUCGAAAUCCGUUGUAAAAAUAUAAAGGCAUGUUUGUUCGGACAACACAGUAUGCAAGUUGCCGAAAAGAAGCGGCGAAACGCGUGGCGUCCCGGUCCUGGAGAAAUGCCAGUCGUUAAUCUGUUUCUUCGUCGUGUUCAAGGAUUGGACGGAAACCUUCGUCAGAGACACUCGCGCAGGAAAUUUCAACUCUCUCGUGCACGAGGCAGCAACGAAUUGGAAAUAUCAUUGACCGUUUCGCGUGGAAUUCCACGCAUGCCAUUCCUGGCCGGUGGACGUACAGCUUUUACGCAACUGAUCGCCAGUUAAAGAGACGGCUGCAAUAAAGAGCACUUGUCAGUAAUUCGAGUGAAACGAACAAAAAGGAACGUACAUUAAAAAUCAACAUAAAUUCUAUGUAAAUAAGUAAACUUGGCUCGAAGUCGAUCGAUGUUAAAUUACUUUUUCAAAUAUGAUAAUGUACCAUACCAUCGUACCAAAGUUAUUUCAGUCACCUGGGCUUCAACGUUUAAAUAUCAAUCUGGAACAUUGCGCAGGACAGUGGAACUACGUUGUGCAUGAAUAAUUAAUCGAAUCGUUGGAUAAUCAAAAGAUAUUGAGCCGUUGAAUAACUUUUAAUUUCUAAUUUGUUAAUGGAGCGUAUCUUCCAGACUAAUCAAUUACACGUCCAAGAGCUGGAACGUCUCUGUAUAUUCAUAAUCGGACACGGAGAUUGAGAGUCCCUUCUGAAAGCCAACUUCGCGCUGCACUCGCAGAAAACCCUGAAGCGACAAAGAAACGCUUUCACGUUCGUCACGUUCUAUAAUUAAACGUAGCAGCGUGCUGGAAUAUAACGAUUCGAAACAUUAACGCCAUAGUGAAGUCGUCAAGCAAGAGCACUUUCGCAAACAGGAAGGGAACGCAAUAACGCCCGAUCAAAGGGACGGGAAGCGAUUACUUCGGUGGUGUGUUCGUCAUUGACCCAAAUCACCAGUCUAGAAAGACAUGGCCGGCCUCUGAAUCUUGACAUUGAAUCGUUGUAAUAUAGUUCCGCCCCG